ACGGAAGGCCGCAGUAGGGUAUAUUGCACAAUGGGGGAAACCCUGAUGCAGCGACGCCGCGUGAGCGAUGAAGUAUUUCGGUAUGUAAAGCUCUAUCAGCAGGGAAGAUAAUGACGGUACCUGACUAAGAAGCCCCGGCUAACUCCGUGCCAGCAGCCGCGGUAAUACGGAGGAUCCGAGCGUUAUCCGGAUUUAUUGGGUUUAAAGGGUGCGCAGGCGGCUUUUUAAGUCAGUGGUUAAAUCGUGACGCUCAACGUCAUCACGCCAGUGAUACUGGAGAGCUUGAUUGCGGUCGAGGUUUGCGGAAUUCGUUGUGGAGAGGUGAAAUGCAUAGAUAUGACGAAGAACACCGAGUGCGUAGGCAGCAGACCAGGCCGUAAAUGACGCUCAUGCACGAAAGUGCGGGGAUCGAACAGGAUUAGAUACCCUGGUA
rnacentral:rRNA from 1 species